UCCAUUAGGUAAAAGAGAAAGAUGUUAGCUUUCAUCAUCAUCAUCAUCUUCUCUGCUGCUGUUACUUCUCUCACUUUCAGUGGGUCCCACCUCCUCCACCUGGGCCCACCGCCAUCUUCUUCGAUCUAGGGCUUCAAUUUUCCCAACUUCGUUUCUCCACAGGAGCAUAAUGGAGAAUCCAUCUUCUUUAGGGUUUGAUUCAGAUGAAAGUGACCCGGAUAUGCAAGCUGAAGCCUAUGAAGACCAUGAAAGAAUAGAAGAUAAGCUUCCAAAUAAUUUGGAUUUAUGUGCAGGUGAAGAUGACAAGAUAGUAGAACAAUCUGUUAUAAACAGGGAAGUGUUGGAACCAUACAUAGGAAUGGAGUUCAACUCAAGAGAUGAAGCUAGAGAGUUUUAUGUUGCCUAUGGUAGGCGUACUGGUUUCACUGUACGCAUACAUCAUAAUCGCCGUUCACGAGUAAACAAUCAGGUUAUUGGUCAAGAUUUUGUUUGUUCAAAAGAAGGUUUUCGUGCAAAGAAGUAUGUAUACAGAAAAGAUAGAGUUCUUCCUCCACCACCAAUCACCCGAGAAGGAUGUCAAGCAAUGAUAAGGCUUGCUCUAAGGGAUGGAGCAAAAUGGGUUGUCACCAAGUUUGUGAAAGAGCAUAGUCAUAAAUUAAUGAGUCCUAGUAAAGUUCCAUGGAGGGGAUCCGGAAAACAUUUAGUCAGUGAGGAUGAGAAGGAUAAGAGAAUCAGAGAACUAUCCCUUGAGUUGAACAAUGAGAGGCAAAAAUGUAAACGACGGUGUGCUGCAUAUGAAGAACAGUUAAAUAUGAUUUUGAAAGAUUUGGAGAAACACACAGAACACAUGUCAAGAAAGGUUUCUGAUAUAGUACAGAGCAUAAGAGAAAUCGAGGAGGAACAAUCAGAAGACUCUGACAAAGAAUGGAGUUAGCUGAGCUCGUACCAUUUCUUCCUCUCCCUUUAUUUGCCUUUUUCUCAAGAUGGGUGGAGAAAAUGGAAAAUAUUUAUUGGAACUAGCAGGAGACGAUGAAAUGUUAAACGAUGAAGUGGCUUUAUGAGAUUACUGCAGCACUUUGAGCUCAAAGAUUGAAGCAAAUCCCAACACCAAAAUGAUGUUUCCAAUCGAGGGUAGGCAAAUCUUGGCUGCAAUUCUCACUAAAACCAAAUCUACAUGCAUUAAUCUUGAUUGAAAAGUUGCAUUCUAAAGUCUGAGGACUAUUUGAUCAGUUGGAUGUCUGUCUAUAAGGUGUACCAUAGUUUCCAUUGUGCUUCUCUUGUAUAUUUAAGAAUGGAGUAAGGGUUUGGGAAUAAAUGGAGAUAGGGUUUUCGAUUUUUCUAUCA